rnacentral:rRNA from 1 species
UACGUAGGGUGCAAGCGUUGUCCGGAAUUAUUGGGCGUAAAGAGCUCGUAGGCGGUUUGUCGCGUCGAAUGUGAAAUCCCGAGGCUCAACCUCGGGUCUGCAGUCGAUACGGGCUAGCUAGAGUGUGGUAGGGGAGAUCGGAAUUCCUGGUGUAGCGGUGAAAUGCGCAGAUAUCAGGAGGAACACCGGUGGCGAAGGCGGAUCUCUGGGCCAUUACUGACGCUGAGGAGCGAAAGCGUGGGGAGCGAACAGG